GUCAUUCUUGAGGAAAAGGAAGCCCACAAUGGAGAAGAGGUAGACCAGUAUGAGCGCCAGCAGUGCGGCUGACAAAAAUGAUGAAACACCUCAUGGACAUGAACCUCAGAAGUGAAAGCCUUGCUAAUGCAGAAGGCAAUGCAGAGCAAGAAGGAGCUUCGAGGCGUUGUCCUGAGAACAUAGAAGCAACCCUGACUGCUCAGGAGAACGACGCAGAGAAGCGGAGGUAGAUGGAAACCAUCCACAACAUCCAGAAUGAACCCCAGAGGUGCAGGUCCUGGUUGUGGUUCUCGCACAGGAGCUGCAGGAAGCGCAGGAUGGGCUUCAUGAUGCUGACAGCAGGACCC